UGGUCUUGACAUACACGGAACUUUCCAGAGAUGGAUUGGUGCCUUCGGGAACCGUGAUACAGGUGCUGCAUGGCUGUCGUCAGCUCGUGUCGUGAGAUGUUGGGUUAAGUCCCGUAACGAGCGCAACCCUUAUCCUUAUUUGCCAGCACAUCAUGGUGGGAACUAUAAGGAGACUGCCGGUGAUAAACCGGAGGAAGGCGGGGACGACGUCAAGUCAUCAUGGCCCUUACGACCAGGGCUACACACGUGCUACAAUGGGGGGUACAAAGAGCAGCCAACUGGCGACAGUGCGCGAAUCUCAUAAAACCUCUCGUAGUCCGGAUCGGAGUCUGCAACUCGACUCCGUGAAGUCGGAAUCGCUAGUAAUCGUGAAUCAGAAUGUCACGGUGAAUACGUUCCCGGGCCU
rnacentral:rRNA from 1 species